rnacentral:rRNA from 1 species
AUAGAGUCAAGUGAAUAAGUGCAUCAGGCGGAUGCCUUGGCGAUGAUAGGCGACGAAGGACGUGUAAGCCUGCGAAAAGCGCGGGGGAGCUGGCAAUAAAGCUAUGAUUCCGCGAUGUCCGAAUGGGGAAACCCACUGCAUUCUGUGCAGUAUCCUAAGUUGAAUACAUAGGCUUAGAGAAGCGAACCCGGAGAACUGAACCAUCUAAGUACCCGGAGGAAAAGAAAUCAACCGAGAUUCCGCAAGUAGUGGCGAGCGAACGCGGAGGAGCCUGUACGUAAUAACUGUCGAGAUAGAAGAACAAGCUGGGAAGCUUGACCAUAGCGGGUGACAGUCCCGUAUUCGAAAUCUCAACAGCGGUACUAAGCGUACGAAAAGUAGGGCGGGACACGUGAAAUCCUGUCUGAAUAUGGGGGGACCAUCCUCCAAGGCUAAAUACUCAUCAUCGACCGAUAGUGAACCAGUACCGUGAGGGAAAGGCGAAAAGAACCCCGGGAGGGGAGUGAAACAGAACCUGAAACCUGAUGCAUACAAACAGUGGGAGCGCCCUAGUGGUGUGACUGCGUACCUUUUGUAUAAUGGGUCAACGACUUACAUUCAGUAGCGAGCUUAACCGGAUAGGGGAGGCGUAGGGAAACCGAGUCUUAAUAGGGCGAUGAGUUGCUGGGUGUAGACCCGAAACCGAGUGAUCUAUCCAUGGUCAGGUUGAAGGUGCCGUAACAGGUACUGGAGGACCGAACCCACGCAUGUUGCAAAAUGCGGGGAUGAGCUGUGGGUAGGGGUGAAAGGCUAAACAAACUCGGAGAUAGCUGGUUCUCCCCGAAAACUAUUUAGGUAGUGCCUCGAGCAAGACACUGAUGGGGGUAAAGCACUGUUAUGGCUAGGGGGUUAUUGCAACUUACCAACCCAUGGCAAACUCAGAAUACCAUCAAGUGGUUCCUCGGGAGACAGACAGCGGGUGCUAACGUCCGUUGUCAAGAGGGAAACAACCCAGACCGCCGGCUAAGGUCCCAAAUGAUAGAUUAAGUGGUAAACGAAGUGGGAAGGCACAGACAGCCAGGAUGUUGGCUUAGAAGCAGCCAUCAUUUAAAGAAAGCGUAAUAGCUCACUGGUCGAGUCGUCCUGCGCGGAAGAUGUAACGGGGCUCAAAUCUAUAACCGAAGCUGCGGAUGCCGGUUUACCGGCAUGGUAGGGGAGCGUUCUGUAGGCUGAUGAAGGUGCAUUGUAAAGUGUGCUGGAGGUAUCAGAAGUGCGAAUGUUGACAUGAGUAGCGAUAAAGCGGGUGAAAAGCCCGCUCGCCGAAAGCCCAAGGUUUCCUACGCAACGUUCAUCGGCGUAGGGUGAGUCGGCCCCUAAGGCGAGGCAGAAAUGCGUAGUCGAUGGGAAACAGGUUAAUAUUCCUGUACUUGAUUCAAAUGCGAUGUGGGGACGGAGAAGGUUAGGUUGGCAAGCUGUUGGAAUAGCUUGUUUAAGCCGGUAGGUGGAAGACUUAGGCAAAUCCGGGUUUUCUUAACACCGAGAAGUGAUGACGAGUGUCUACGGACACGAAGCAACCGAUACCACGCUUCCAGGAAAAGCCACUAAGCUUCAGUUUGAAUCGAACCGUACCGCAAACCGACACAGGUGGGCAGGAUGAGAAUUCUAAGGCGCUUGAGAGAACUCGGGAGAAGGAACUCGGCAAAUUGAUACCGUAACUUCGGGAGAAGGUAUGCCCUCUAAGGUUAAGGACUUGCUCCGUAAGCCCCGGAGGGUCGCAGAGAAUAGGUGGCUGCGACUGUUUAUUAAAAACACAGCACUCUGCCAACACGAAAGUGGACGUAUAGGGUGUGACGCCUGCCCGGUGCCGGAAGGUUAAUUGAAGAUGUGCAAGCAUCGGAUCGAAGCCCCGGUAAACGGCGGCCGUAACUAUAACGGUCCUAAGGUAGCGAAAUUCCUUGUCGGGUAAGUUCCGACCCGCACGAAUGGCGUAACGAUGGCCACACUGUCUCCUCCCGAGACUCAGCGAAGUUGAAGUGGUUGUGAAGAUGCAAUCUACCCGCUGCUAGACGGAAAGACCCCGUGAACCUUUACUGUAGCUUUGCAUUGGACUUUGAAGUCACUUGUGUAGGAUAGGUGGGAGGCUUGGAAGCAGAGACGCCAGUCUCUGUGGAGUCGUCCUUGAAAUACCACCCUGGUGUCUUUGAGGUUCUAACCCAGACCCGUCAUCCGGGUCGGGGACCGUGCAUGGUAGGCAGUUUGACUGGGGCGGUCUCCUCCCAAAGCGUAACGGAGGAGUUCGAAGGUUACCUAGGUCCGGUCGGAAAUCGGACUGAUAGUGCAAUGGCAAAAGGUAGCUUAACUGCGAGACCGACAAGUCGGGCAGGUGCGAAAGCAGGACAUAGUGAUCCGGUGGUUCUGUAUGGAAGGGCCAUCGCUCAACGGAUAAAAGGUACUCCGGGGAUAACAGGCUGAUUCCGCCCAAGAGUUCAUAUCGACGGCGGAGUUUGGCACCUCGAUGUCGGCUCAUCACAUCCUGGGGCUGUAGUCGGUCCCAAGGGUAUGGCUGUUCGCCAUUUAAAGUGGUACGUGAGCUGGGUUUAAAACGUCGUGAGACAGUUUGGUCCCUAUCUGCAGUGGGCGUUGGAAGUUUGACGGGGGCUGCUCCUAGUACGAGAGGACCGGAGUGGACGAACCUCUGGUGUACCGGUUGUAACGCCAGUUGCAUAGCCGGGUAGCUAAGUUCGGAAGAGAUAAGCGCUGAAAGCAUCUAAGCGCGAAACUCGCCUGAAGAUGAGACUUCCCUUGCGGUUUAACCGCACUAAAGGGUCGUUCGAGACCAGGACGUUGAUAGGUGGGGUGUGGAAGCGCGGUAACGCGUGAAGCUAACCCAUACUAAUUGCCCGUGAGGCUUGACUCUAU